rnacentral:lncRNA from 1 species
GUGCCCUAAAGAUCAUGCAAGGCCUAAGAUAAACAAAAAUCCAAUAAAUCCACAACUAAUUAAUUAAUUCAAAUAGACAAAUCCAGCAUAUCCAAAUAAUCAAUUUGGUUCAAAUACAAGAUUUUCAAAUACUCAUCGACAUCAAAGAAAGAUAAACUAACUAAUAAGCUAAUGACUUUGAUACUCGCGCUCUGCGCCCAACCCAUCCAUGUCUAUGCAUCCUGCAACUCUGAAAAUAGAAAAAAGAAGGGUGUGAGCUUUACAGCCCAAUAAGAACCCCUACACGUCCAUACCAAAACAAUAGUAAUAUGAAUUUGAAAAACCACGACAAAUCGAUGCACAUUUCAUGAAAUCAUAAACGGCUUCCAAAAGGCUCAAAUAAUCAAUAUAAGUAUGUACGUCAAACAUCAAUAAAAGUUCAACCAUACCGAAAUGAUAUAGCAUAUGAUAGCUCAUAAAUCUUCAUUACUAUUUUCAAUACUUUUUCUUUCCAUUCUAUAUUAACUUGAUUCCGAUCAAUUAUUUUUCCGACUUUGGGCUACAUCUCGGUCACGUUUUCGGCCCGUAACGGAGCAACCGAUAGUAUCAUAUUUCCAGCCUGUGAUGGGGCAAUCGAUAGUAUCACAUUUCCAGCCUGUGACGGGGCAAUCGAUAGUAUCACAUUUCCAGCCUGUGACGGGGCAAUCCAUAAUAACGAGNNNNNNNNNNNNNNNNNNNNCAUCUCGGUCACGUUUUCGGCCCGUAACGGAGCAACCGAUAGUAUCACAUUUCCAGUCUGUGAUGGGGCAAUCGAUAGUAUCACAUUUCCAGCCUGUGACGGGGCAAUCGAUAGUAUCACAUUUCCAGCCUAUGAUGGGGCAAUCCAUAAUAACGAGAUAAGCCCAAAGUCCCUAUUCAUUUAAUCAAUUCAUACAGACACAUCAAUUCCUUUUUUCAUUUUAUUUUCGACCUAGACUAACCACGGUCACAUUUUCGGCCCGUGACAAGGCAAUCAAUAUAACAUAGUUAGUCCAUCCCACCACAUCCAUAAAUCCAAUUAUGCAGGUAUAGGUUAUACGCAUACAUAUAUCCAUCAUAAUACCAAUCACAAGCCAAUAUGAUCAAAAUAUAAUUUAAUAUAAAACUAUUUUUGCUUUGUCUAGAUCAUAACAUAUCAUACAUAUGUGGUACAAAAGUAUUUAUAUCCUGCAGGUUGCCGUACAAGAAUUCUUACACUUUGUUGAAAACUCAGACAAACUAAUUAUCCGCCCUCACGGUGAUUUAUAAACCGGAAUGUGCAGGACCCCGCUUAUCGUCUUCUCGUCCAACAGAUUAUUCUCCUACAGAAUCAAGUCAUCCUUAAAAAUUAUCCACGAUAUAUGAAAAUCCAAAACUCUCUAUGAAUCCUCUUAAGGGUCCAUCAGCUAUUUAGCACCUCAGGACUAACUAACAGUCCAUGAUCUCCCUGUAUUAAACUAGAGAGAAAACAUAACAAUAAGAGAGAGCAACUAGAGAGGGAGAAGAACAAAGAAGAUGGUAGUGGGUGGUUCUCUCUCUCUCUUUCUCUCUCUCUCUCUCUUCCUUCCUUCCUCCCGAUUGGAGGGAAAACUUGACGGCGGCNN